rnacentral:lncRNA from 1 species
UCUUAUUAUAUUUGUUCUAUUAUUGUUACUUUGUUACUUUGUUGUAGCCUUUAGAAUGGAGUGUGAACAAAAAUGGAGGCCCUGGGAGUAUGGACCUAAGGCACCCAGGACCUCGGACUCUUCCUUUAUAUACCAAACUGCUGCCCGAGGACUUCUUUCUGCCUGGGUUUUCUGGUGGAACAGGACCAGAGAAUGAGGGAAAUGCUGUGGCGGGAUAGUCCUUAAGCAGGGCUCCUGUCAGCUCGUGGGCACUGUCGCAGUUGGGCCAGUUUUUCAAACACCGAAAGACUACGGGACUGGCUGGUAACCAGGUGAAGUUUGAGCGCCUGGUGUCUCCGUCCAUCCACCACUCGGGCUCCAGGUAAGGCAUCCAGAGGGGUUGCCCUGGUAACUGCCCCAGCAUCCUGCUAGGGCAGCCACAGCUCCCACCCCAUUUGUGGGCCCCAGACCCACGGAAAAACGACCAUCGCCGACAUGGCUUUGCGAGGGCCGUAUUUACCUCCCACCAUCUGGAACCCUCCAAAAUUAUGGCAGCUGCUUGGUGGAACAGCCUCCAUAGCCUGUAACACAGGUUAUUUGAUAUUUUUUUAAAAAAUUUUUUUUAACGUUUAUUUAUUUUUGAGACAGAGAGAGACAGAGCAUGAAUGGGGGAGGGGCAGAGAGAGAGAGGGAGACACAGAAUCUGAAGCAGGUUCCAGGCUCUGAGCCAUCAGUCCAGAGCCCGACGCGGGGCUCGAACUCACGGACCGCGAGAUCGUGACCUGAGCUGAAGUCGGACGCUUAACCGACUGAGCCACCCAGGCGCCCCUUAUUUGAUAUUUUGAAUGUCACACCUGCCUUUCUUUUCCUUUUCCUUUUCACUUUGCACCAACCACAGCAA